rnacentral:rRNA from 1 species
CCUACGGGUGGCAGCAGUGGGGAAUAUUGGGCAAUGGGCGCAAGCCUGACCCAGCAACGCCGCGUGAAGCAAGAAGGCUUUCGGGUUGUAAAAUUCUUUUGACAGGGAAGAGUAUACGAGGGUACCUGUCUGAUCAACCACGGCUAACUACGUGCCAGCAGCCGCGGUAAUACGUAGGUGGCAAGCGUUGUCAGGCUUUAGUGGGUGUAAAGGGCGUGUAGCCGGGUUGACAAGUCAGAUGUGAAAUACUGCGGCUUAACCGUAGAAGGGCAUUUGAAACUGUUGAUCUUGAGUACUGGAGAGGCAGACGGAAUUCCUAGUGUAGCGGUGAAAUGCGUAGAUAUUAGGAGGAACACCAGUGGCGAAGGCGGUCUGCUGGACAGCAACUGACGGUGAGGCGCGAAAGCGUAGGUAGCAAACAGGAUUAGAUACCCUUGUAGUC